rnacentral:tRNA from 1 species
GCCCGACUAGCUCAGUUGGAUAGAGCACUGGUUUCCUAAAUCGGAGGUCGACGGUUCGAGCCCGUCGUCGGGCG